CAUCUGAGUACAUUGUAAACAUUUUUGUAUCUAUUGGUGCCAUGCAAAUGGAAUGACUUUAGAGACUGCAGAAAGGAGGGAAAGUGCCUUUGUUAUAGUUUAAAUAGUUCUACCCCUUGAGAGACUCCCAAUCCCUGGGUGCAAACAAUUUAAAACUGGGUUGAAGAUUUUACCUUAGCGUCACAAGAUCUGGAUGUUCUGUUUUGGAAAGG